GACGAACGCUGGCGGCGUGCUUAACACAUGCAAGUCGAACGGAAAGGCCCUGCUUUUGUGGGGUGCUCGAGUGGCGAACGGGUGAGUAACACGUGAGUAACCUGCCCUUGACUUUGGGAUAACUUCAGGAAACUGGGGCUAAUACCGGAUAGGAGCUCCUGCUGCAUGGUGGGGGUUGGAAAGUUUCGGCGGUUGGGGAUGGACUCGCGGCUUAUCAGCUUGUUGGUGGGGUAGUGGCUUACCAAGGCUUUGACGGGUAGCCGGCCUGAGAGGGUGACCGGCCACAUUGGGACUGAGAUACGGCCCAGACUCGUACGGGAGGCAGCAGUGGGGAAUAUUGCACAAUGGGCGGAAGCCUGAUGCAGCAACGCCGCGUGCGGGAUGACGGCCUUCGGGUUGUAAACCGCUUUCGCCUGUGACGAAGCGGGAGUGACGGUAAUGGGUAAAGAAGCACCGGCUAACUACGUG
rnacentral:rRNA from 1 species